GGACUACUGGGGUAUCUAAUCCUGUUUGCUCCCCACGCUUUCGCGCCUCAGCGUCAGUUAUAGGCCAGAAAGUCGCCUUCGCCACUGGUGUUCCUCCACAUCUCUACGCAUUUCACCGCUACACGUGGAAUUCCACUUUCCUCUCCUACACUCCAGUCUCCCAGUUUCCGAGGCGAUACAGGGUUGAGCCCUGCAGUUAAACCCCAGACUUAAAAAACCGCCUGCGCGCGCUUUACGCCCAAUAAUUCCGGACAACGCUUGCCCCCUACGUAUUACCGCGGCUGCUGGCAC
rnacentral:rRNA from 1 species